AUCCAGCUGACGAGUCCUAAACAGGACUAAAUGCACAUCCUAGAU
rfam:Trichobilharzia regenti genome assembly, scaffold: TRE_contig0011834